GGGCGCUCCGCUCCCACCGUGAUCCACCAACGGUCGUUGCCGAUGCACCACUCCCGGCUCCUCUCUCAUCUCUUCUUCCCCACGCCCCAUUCUCUUGCUCGAGCUCCUCGCCGAUUUUACCGAUCAUUGUCCUCUGAUCUAGGGUUCGCUGCUGCCGGUCGCCAUUCACCUGUGCCUCCGGAGGAAACGGCUCCCUGGACCUUAUCCUUCUUCAAAUUCUACCUCUACCGAUGAGGAACGCCUCGAUGGCUGUCUCUUCCGUUUCUCCUUUCUCUCCCUCCUUGCAAUACACCGGCCAUGAUUCAAGGAAGGAGAAGGGACGGGGGUAGAGCCACCAUAUCAAGAGGUAGAGUGAAGGAGCCACGCUUGACAACUUGGCGUGAGCUACUUUGGUCCAGCGGCUACCAAUGUUCCUUUUUUACUUCAGAAUUAUAAAAUCAUGUUGCCUUUCUAGAAUAAGAUGGAGAAAGGUCCAAACAAUCUUUCAAGAUUUGUCACACUCGAUGGAAACUGGAAGCAUCACUCUCCUUGGCUGAAAUCACAGUGGUCAGAUUAUAGAUCACAAGCUGUAGACGAAUUGUUUCUUCUGAUUUCCCAAUCUUCAGAUUGAACUGACCAAUCCGUGUGAUUGAGGAAUCCUUGUGGAGAAAAAGAAUUCAAGGAACUCCGCAGCUCCGAAUACAGAGGUGAGAAAUCGAAUCAAUCGAGCAGCGCUCUGGUGAUCUAUUCAUCUACAUGUUCUGAUCUGCAUGUAUUCCCUGUUUUUCCUCUGCUGGUUCAGCUUUGUUAAACUUAUAGCAGAUAUAAAAUACCUGUAUAUAUAUGCUUAGAACAAGCAAAAUUAGAACUCUCUAUCUUGAGUUGUCAGUUUGAUUUACAUACACAUGUCACUAGAGACUAGACUAUGCAUCAUCAAGCAGAAUGUUUAUGUGUGUUGCCAGUAACAAAUUGUAUCAAAUCUUGUGUUAAAACAAUGCUAUCAAAUUAACUUUCC